AGGGAGCAGGAGCGUGGUGCUUGAUGUGCAUGUGAUAAACCGGAGCACAAAAGCCGCUUAGGACCAGCCCGCGGAGAUUAGCUAACAAGAAGCGAGCCAUUCUUUUCAGGAGGCAUUAUUAGCAUAUUUUUCAUCAAUACUAUACUUAACAGCUACUACAUAGCAGGAAGUGGUAUUUAACCUCUUGUUCCAACGUAACGAGAUUACUUUGGGUGGUUAUGUUCCAUUCCAUUCAUAAAGAGCCUCCUGUGCCCAGUUAAUUAGAUUCACUGGUCCAGCAUGAACUGGGAGCCAAUGUGCCAAAAUGGAUUCGGAAUAUUGACAUUUUAAGCUGGGCUUGUCUUUAAGGCUGUGAUGGAAAACUCGCUGCUGACAGACAAGGGGGGUCAUUAGAAAAUUGUUCCAGCUCCUGAUGGACGUGGGUUAACUGAAAUAACCAUUGCUGAAAUGGCCAAAGUUUAAAGGAAAGCUCAUUCUGGAAGUUAAAGUUCUUUGAAACAGAUGAGCACCACCUGACUUUUGAGGCACAGCCAGGUGAAACCACCUUUGCCUUUAUUUGGAUGUGAAACACUGAGCCACAGGGGACUCUGCUGCCACAAAACUUCUGGUUUUCACUGAACUCUGAAUUGGAAAACGACAGAAGUCAAGUUUGGAAAAAAGUAUAAAGCAAGAGACAUCACAUACUGACUCAUGACUUAUAGUCAAACCCCAUGGAAUUAUUCCUGCAAAGCAGAACAUGGAGCACCUGGGCUGGAUUCUGUGUUCCCAACAGCUCCUGGUGGAUUUUCCUUGGCUCCAGCAGAUCCAUCACCCCUUUCUCCUGGAGUGUGCUCAGCACCACGGAACCCUGCUCUGACCCCGAGGCACCAACAUCCCAGCCCAGGCUCCCCGCAGAGAGAUGCCCCACUCUGAACCUUGGCCAGGCAAGGAAGACUUCUGGGAACGGGACCUCAGGCCUCCUAAUCCUCUGCUAUCUCACGAAUCAGGCCUUAUGUGCCAGGCAGCAUAAUCCUCAUCCUGGUGACUGCUCAAGAGCCCCAAAACCUCUGGAUUGUGGCCACGGCUUCACAGCAGCAAGGCCUCAGCGUGUUCUUGCCCCAUCACACCUUUCCCAGUCCCCAUCCUUUGAUUUUUGGGUGUUUUUGAGCUGUACCAGCUCCCCAGACUGGGUUCCCAGCAAGGUGGGCCAGCACAGGCAGGAUUUUGGUGCAGGGAGGAGGCAAGGUGGAGCGAAUCCUGGAUCCCUGGAAAGCACAGUUGUGUCCAACCCCAGGUAAGAGGAAUCCGCAGCCAAGGUUGGUUAUGGUGUCAGCUGCAGGCUGUUCCCUCGGGACAAUCCCUUCCC